AUCCUUGAAAGACCUAAAGGAAGCAUUUUGAGGAACUGGGCCCCCUCAUGGCCUGUCCUUGGCAGGAGCUUUGGACUGGGAUGGAAGUCUCCCAUAUCCAUGCGUCUGGGCAAAAUGCAAAUGGCAGUAACACCACCAGCUCCUUAUUUCUCACUGAUGCUGGACAGAGACCCAGCAACCUUCACCCUGGAAGUAAUCAAGUGGUUUUGACAUGAACUCUGAGGUGGGGCUUCGUUUUUCAAGAAACCCUCUCUCCUGUCAAGCCAGGUCUAUUCUGGAUGCCAGGACCAGAGAAGUGGCCACCACCACGUGCAAGACACUGUCUAUCAUAGAGCCACAUGGCGA
rnacentral:lncRNA from 1 species